CAAUAAACCCGGUAGUAGCGGUUCCGAUUCUUUACCGAUCAAUCGGCACUAAAUUAGCAUCGGAAAUAGCGGAUAACGGGGCUGCUU
rnacentral:sRNA from 1 species